rnacentral:rRNA from 1 species
CUCGUAGGCGGUUUGUCGCGUCGGGAGUGAAAACGCCGGGCUUAACUCGGUGCUUGCUUUCGAUACGGGCAGACUAGAGGCAUGCAGGGGAGAACGGAAUUCCUGGUGUAGCGGUGAAAUGCGCAGAUAUCAGGAGGAACACCGGUGGCGAAGGCGGUUCUCUGGGCAUGUCCUGACGCUGAGGAGCGAAAGUGUGGGGAGCGAACA